CCAGUAUUCUGCAAUCCCCAAACACCAUUGCUGUGCACUACUGAAGCUUAACACGCCAUAAUUUAUGCCCAGUCUGGAUGGGACUCUGACCCAGCAUCAGCAUGAAAUGUAUUAACUUUAGUUAUCCAUGUUUCAGUGGAUUUUCAUUGACUCAUUUUGAGCAGUUAUGCACAGCUCAGCAUAAAGCUGACAUGAGAGAGAAGUUACAGGACAGCUCUUUAGCUCUGUGGUAUGAUAAGCUAGUUUUUGGCACUGGCACCACACUCGCAGUGUUACUAGAGAAACGAGAAGAUUCUGUCCCAGAAGUCAUUGUGAUUAAAUCAAAGAAUACCAAGAAAGGAAACAAUAAUGUGAACGCAGUUUGUCUGGCAAGGAAUUUCUAUCCAAAGAACAUCAGUUUGGAGGUAUCGUCUAAUGAAGUUGUAUAUGAACAGAAUAAACCCAUUCUGAUGUCUGAGGGGACGUACAGUACUAUUAAGGUGGUUCAGGUGAAACCAGAGAUGGAGGUGACCUGCAAGGCCAAGUUCAACGGCACCACUUUUGCAAAAAACACAACAUCACCAGAAAAGGAGAUUGAAGAACCAGUAACGGUGAAUGUUUGCAACAUAACAGACACCUCUACAAAAGAUAUCGAAACAGAGAAAGUGAACAUGCUCUCCAUGGCUGUGCUAGGUUUCAGAGUCCUGCUGGCAAAAAGCAUCGCCUUCAAUACGCUCAUGAGUAUCAAGUUGUUUCUUUUCUGAGGUGGUGGUGAAGAUUACCAUCAGCAGUCUAAGGGACAGAAGGAGAGAGUGUGUACCCACAGCAAUUUCAACAGCACAGGUCAAAUCUACUCACAAUAAGUACUGAGAGCACAACACUGCACCUUCCCCUUAGUCCCUGUAGAUUUAUCAGUCUCUUCACUUAGUCAUGUGGCUUUUCAGCUAACACUGUUUGGGAGUUUUCUUAGGCAUAUUAUACUGUUGAAUCCUGUCUAGCUAGUUUCUUUCACUGUACAAAUAAUUGUAACUGCUUUGGAUAUUUCUUAUUCCCAGUGAACUUUUUCCUUAUCCCUCUAAGUGGAAAUUGAUAUCCCCUCUCCUCUAAACAUUGCAGAGAAGCAUCCAAAUUGCUUUGGUAGUUUUGAAAAAUCAGAAUUUCACUAUAGAUCCAUGACCCUUUAAAAAUCUCUUCUAUAGGCAAAUUAUAUCACUCUCUCUUGAGAUGUUUUACAGCUUACAGAAUUCAGACACAGUAGAUAUAAUUUAGUUUUAAUAUUUUUUAGAUAGCUUCAAUAACCAUAAUUUUCUAAUGUAGAUGAAAAGACGCAUUUUGUGAAGAUCCUUGAAGUGAUUCACUUCAACCAGAUAACAUUCAACCAUAACAACAUUUUAAUUUGCAUUUCUUUACCAUGUAUCUCUUUUGCUAAGUGUUCAACUCCUGCAUUUUAGGUUUACCCGAAAUAAAGUUUUACUACGCCAAAA